UACGUAGGGCGCAAGCGUUAUCCGGAAUUAUUGGGCGUAAAGAGCUCGUAGGCGGUUUGUCGCGUCUGCUGUGAAAACCCGAGGCUCAACCUCGGGCCUGCAGUGGGUACGGGCAGACUAGAGUGCGGUAGGGGAGAUUGGAAUUCCUGGUGUAGCGGUGGAAUGCGCAGAUAUCAGGAGGAACACCAAUGGCGAAGGCAGAUCUCUGGGCCGUAACUGACGCUGAGGAGCGAAAGCGUGGGGAGCGAACAGG
rnacentral:rRNA from 1 species